rnacentral:rRNA from 1 species
AUUGAACGCUGGCGGCAGGCCUAACACAUGCAAGUCGAGCGGAUGAAGGGAGCUUGCUCCUGGAUUCAGCGGCGGACGGGUGAGUAAUGCCUAGGAAUCUGCCUGGUAGUGGGGGAUAACGUCCGGAAACGGGCGCUAAUACCGCAUACGUCCUGAGGGAGAAAGUGGGGGAUCUUCGGACCUCACGCUCUCAGAUGAGCCUAGGUCGGAUUAGCUAGUUGGUGGGGUAAAGGCCUACCAAGGCGACGAUCCGUAACUGGUCUGAGAGGAUGAUCAGUCACACUGGAACUGAGACACGGUCCAGGCUCCUACGGGAGGCAGCAGUGGGGAAUAUUGGACAAUGGGCGAAAGCCUGAUCCAGCCAUGCCGCGUGUGUGAAGAAGGUCUUCGGAUUGUAAAGCACUUUAAGUUGGGAGGAAGGGCAGUAAGUUAAUACCUUGCUGUUUUGACGUUACCAACAGAAUAAGCACCGGCUAACUUCGUG